CCCAGACUCCUACGGGAGGCAGCAGUGGGGAAUAUUGCACAAUGGGGGGAACCCUGAUGCAGCGACGCCGCGUGGGUGAAGGAGCGUUUCGGCGCGUAAAGCCCUAUCGGCAGGGAAGAAGGAGGACGGUACCUGACUAAGAAGCCCCGGCUAACUACGUGCCAGCAGCCGCGGUAAUACGUAGGGGGCAAGCGUUAUCCGGAUUUACUGGGUGUAAAGGGGGCGCAGACGGCAGCGCAAGCCAGGAGUGAAAGCCCGGGGCCCAACCCCGGGACUGCUCUUGGAACUGCGCGGCUGGAGUGCAGGAGGGGCAGGCGGAAUUCCUGGUGUAGCGGUGAAAUGCGUAGAUAUCAGGAGGAACACCGGUGGCGAGGGCGGCCUGCUGGACUGCGACUGACGUUGAGGCCCGAAAGCGUGGGGAGCAAACAGGAUUAGAUACCCCAGUAAU
rnacentral:rRNA from 1 species